CCUGGGAAAGCCUCUAACAUAGGUUGUUGUAAGUUUAAAAAACAAAAACAACAACAAAUAAAGGUUUUUUUUAUUUGUUUGUUUGUUUUUUCCUGCAGAUUUGGUCAGAUCAGAUAGGGAAAAUGCAAAUUCUGGGAGCAAACAGAAGUUCAUGAGAACUUUAAGGAAAUUCUCAGAAAUGCCAGAAGUCUCCAGGAAUGUAGGCAAAAAGAGAUUGUGGCCUGCACUUGCAUGGUAUACAGGAGACAUGCACGAAGCCGUGAAAAUAACUGUGUGUACACACUCUCCUCCACUGCAACAAGACCAUCACCUGUUUCAUAAUGACAUGACGGACCAAAUCACACCUAUCUAUUCUGGACAAUAUCUGAAUCUUAUACGCAUGCAGAUAAUAAUGCUCUGCUCUGUCUAGUAGACUGUUAACUGACAAUGGUAAGCAGAAAUAACUCUAAGUCAUUAUGUUAAAACCUUUCCCAUGAAAAAGAAAGAAUGGGAGUUAUAGUAAAUUUUCUGCAAGCUCAACAGAAGGCCGAAGUUACCUCAAAAAAUAUUCAAUGUAGUAGUGUCUGACACAUGUAGUAUAGUAACCAUAUAUAGCAACCAUUUAUAAUUGUUAUUGAUACAUAUUUUCCCACCAUAGAUACAACUUUGUGGAACUAAAAUUCCAGAAUAAGGCAAUACAUAAGGAUUUUGGAAUACUACCCUGUGCUGUAAUUAAAAGCUGCCAGAAACUCACUUAUAAGCUCCGAGAGCAUGAAAAAGAGAUGGAACGGUUAUCUCUGGAGAGUAACAAAGGUUUUAUCCACUCAUUCCUCUUUUUCUGAUCUAUUUCAUCUGUACUUGUUUGUUUCCAUUAAGUAUAAUUUUAAUUACAAAUCAUGGUCCAGCUCAGCUGUUUGCUAUGUAUUCAGCCAUACCAACCUGGGCAGUUUUUUCAUGAUCUAUCAAAGAUUAAGUAGGGUUAAACUAGGUCAUCACUAAGGUGGAAUGAAACCCCAGAUGCUAAAAUGAUUAUUUAAGAGAUUGUGUUUUUUCUUCAGCUACUACAUAUCUGCUUGGAAAUUUGAAGUUACUUUCCAGCAACAUAUUUG
rnacentral:lncRNA from 1 species